rnacentral:rRNA from 1 species
UACGUAGGGUCCGAGCGUUGUCCGGAGUGACUGGGCGUAAAGCGCGCGCAGGCGGCCUGCGAGGUGUCACGUGAAAGCCCCGGGCUUAACCCGGGAGGGUCGUGGCAAACCGGUAGGCUUGAGGCCGGUAGAGGUGGGUGGAACUCCUGGUGGAGUGGUGAAAUGCGUAGAGAUCAGGAAGAACACCCGUGGCGAAGGCGGCCCACUGGGCCGGACCUGACGCUGAGGCGCGAAGGCGUGGGGAGCGAACGGG